AACCUGCCCAAGAGAUCGGGAUAACACCUGGAAACAGAUGCUAAUACCGGAUAACAACAGAUGAUGCCUAUCAACUGUUUAAAAGAUGGUUCUGCUAUCACUCUUGGAUGGACCUGCGGUGCAUUAGCUAGUUGGUAGGGUAACGGCCUACCAAGGCGAUGAUGUAUAGCCGAGUUGAGAGACUGAUCGGCCACAUUGGGACUGAGACACGGCCCAAACUCCUACGGGAGGCAGCAGCG
rnacentral:rRNA from 1 species